UGGACUUGCCACUCUUGUUU
rnacentral:siRNA from 1 species